rnacentral:sRNA from 1 species
UUUAUAUUUUUUUUAUAAAAUAACAGCAAAACAAAAGGAAGGAAAGUCAUUGGAAAAUGGACAUGCGGAGUAAACAUUUAACAGAGUUUGUAAGUGAUACAGUAAAGUGCCUCAGAAACCUACCUGUAGAGAAGUUAAUUCUGGACAUGGAGACUCAUCAAUAGAUGGAAGAACUGUUCCCAGUUCCAAUCAAGUCCCUGAUAGCAGACCUCAACUAUUUGGAGAUUGGGCUUCUUUGCGAGAGACUACCUAGUCACAGCUGUAACAAUGAGGGUGCAACAUUGUAUCGUGGGCAGUUGAAGGGUUCUAAGGAAGAUCAAAUGAAACCAGACUUAAUAAGUCAAGGACAUUAUAUUCCACCUCAUGUGGCGUCCAGACUUCUUCAGUGGUGCAAUCAGCCUGGCAACUUUUAUUUCCAUCCAGCCUAUGAAAUAUUUGCUGAACCUAUUCAGGUGAGACAGAAAGUACUGUUACCUCUUUUUUCUUAUGGACCUCCCUACUAUGCAUCCUUCACUUGAUGGCAUGGUACAUAGCUUGGACCUCAUCUCUUUGAUCUCAAAGGUUUUCAGGUUUUACUAUGGAUCAUCAGGCCUUACAAGGCAUUCAGAAAUAGAUGGGAUAUAAAUCUAAAGUGAUGUACAUCAAUAGCCUGGCAAACUUUAUGAAGACAAAAAACCCUGGCCUUACAGUUGAAAUAUCACAAUAUUGUCUGGCCAAGCUAGGAGCGAGACUGAACACAAUUUAAGUCUGUCCUUCAGACCUGCACUAAAGAAUUUCUCACUUCAUCAUUGACAUCAGAUGUGGCAUCAACUGUUGCCUGACUUGUUAGCUGCCGGCUUGAACAGAAAAGACGUGCUAUGAGUGCUAGUAGUUACUAAGAUAUUUUCACUGUCUUCUCUCUUAUUUGGUAUGUCACUGAUGUCAUUAACAAUAUACUGACAAUCAUUUAGCUCCUCAUUAAUUAAUAAGACAUUUUCAAUUUCUUCGCCAUUAUCUUCUAUCUCACUGAAAUCAUUAACAAUAUUCUGAUAAUCAUUGAGUUCCUUAUUAGUUAAUAAGACAUUUUCAAAUUCUUUUCUCUUAUUUUGUAUCUCACUGACAAUAGCAACAUUGGCUUUAUCUGACUUAUCAUAUUCUCAGUACGACUACUCAUGUUAUACGUUCUGUUUUCUACAGUAUUACAAUUUAGAUCACAAUUAUCCAUUUCUACCUCAUAGGGCCCAUCUCCCAGUAUGGACAGUAUUAUUUCAAGUUCUCUUUCCAACUUUUUGUCCCCCACCUCCCUUAUUUGUUUCCUUUCCUCUGCUUCCAUUAGCUUUAUUUCCAUUUCUAGAGUUCAUCUCUCUAAAUCUAGUCUUUGUGGAUGAACAACAAACUCUUUUCAUUCCUCACCCUCAAUUCCCAUCAUCUUAGCCUGUUGUAUUAGUGCAUCAAUCGAACGAGGUUUAAAGUCGCCCAUGCUAACCAAAAUAAGGAAUAUUACUGAAUUUUAAAAUUUAAAUUCACUUAUAGAGGUUAAGUUAAAAGUAACACUGUUUUACUUAUAUCUCACAAGAGAUUAUAAAAAGAUCAAGACAAAAAAAAAAAUUUCCGCCCUCUAUCUUCAUUACCGACAAGGUAAUGUACGAUUUGACCUGAGAUGCCCGACACAACAGACAACAAAAGAAAACUCAACUUUUCUGUGCUGUCUGAUGCCAGGGAAGAGAUGACAACUCUAUCCACACAACAGUCUCUUUGAGAAAGCAGAAUCUUCUGGGGCGUCAGGUCACCAUUCAUCCUCCGUGUAAGCACCUCAGGAUGCACGGCAGACAUAAAAAAUAAAUUUAAAAAAAAGUUUUUUUAAAUUGCAAAAUAAUAGCAAUAAUAAUGAUGAUGUAGAUAAGGAGGUAAUUACUUGUUACAAAGAUACAAAGUGAUACUAGGCACUCCAAUAAUCUGAUUAGUUUAAUACUUGACACUAUAGUAACUCAAUUAGUUCAGUACUCCACAAUAUACGGUAUGUAAUUCAAUCAGUUCAGUAAUCCACAAUAUACGGCAUGUACUUCAAUCAGUUCAGUAAUCCACAAUAUACUGUAUGUCCUUGCAAUGUCAAAGUACACAAGCAAUGAGAAAGUACUCAAAUACUCCAAUAAGUUUGAUGCUUGACAAUAUAUAGAUCUGGUAGUCCAAUCAGUUAAGUAGUCCACAAUAUACGGUAUGUCCUUGCAAUGUCAAAGUACACAAGUAACGAGAAAGUACUCAAAUAAUCCAAAUAGUUCAAUACUUGACAAUAUAAUAGUCCAAUCUGUUAAGUAGUCCACAAUAUACGGUAUGUCGAAAUACACAAGUAACGAUAAGGUACUCAAAUAAUCCAAAUAGUUAAGUAUAAUCGACUUGAAAAGUAGCAAUAAGUAAUAUUUCCAUCCGUGUGUAGUUCAAGGUGUUAUCUACAUUGACAAAAACGAUAUUUGAGUAAAAAAAAAUUUCAUUCAGGUUUACUAACAAAACAAACUUUCAUUUGCUGAUCGUUCAUGUGAGGUCAGGUAAACUUAGGUCAACCAAUAAAACAAUUGCACGCUUCGGCUAGACUUUUAGACUGGCCUUACUUGUUAAUAAUCUAAUGUCAUGAUGACUCAUUGAAAUGUCGAAAAAAUAGUUCCUCCCUGUUCUCAGUGUGCUCAAAAAGAUAAACAAUUAUUAGGUGACACAUACAAAUAUAGUUUGCUUUGCAUCCAACUUUAGUAGUAGACAACUGGCAGGUAUAAUAGUUAAUAGACCUGACCAGACCAGAUCCCAGAUGUCAGAUUCCUUUUAUUGUAGACUGACUGACUAACUUGAUGCAUGAUAGAUGACAGGUACAAUAGAUACGGUACCUGGACCGGACGAAGCCCUCAGAUUUCAGGGGUUCUUUUCUUAGCUUGUCUUUGACUUGGCUUAUUAGGCUCAUAGGGGUUUACACAAUUACUCAAUUCCAAUUAAUUAUACUUGCUACACAAAUACUUGUUACACACAUAAGAACAAUUAAUACUCAAUAUACUUCAACUCUAACUCCAGUUCUCAAUUAAUAAUAAUACUUAAUAAAGCACACAAUUAUAUUAACUCUUAGUAAAUAUUACAGAAACACCAGUCCAGGAAGUAAAGUCCAACCUUCCUGGAACGGGAGCAAGACCUCACUGACUAACACACUCUCUCGCACAUUCAACGAAGACUAAAUCAUUCAGUUCCUAACACGUGCAAGACUAUUCACAUUCGUAACCUGGGAGUACUUAAACAAGGGGAUAGCACUAUCAUACCAACAUAUCAAAGUAACUUAUUCAUUCUCACCAUACCUCCCCCUGACAAUAAUCUAUGUCUUUAUAGAUUUAGUAAUGAUUAGAUCUAGAGUUAUAGUAAAGUUUGUGUUUUAAUGUCAUACAGGUUUAGAUCUAUACAGCUUCAAAUAAAUCUAGUCCAGAUUAGAUUUAUAGUUUAGUAUUUUAUUUCAAUAUUGUCUAGUCUAAUUAUGACCACUGACAAUUAAUUCUCAUGUGAUUUUCAAAUCAACUUCGUUGAUUUAACGACAGUUAGUAUCUAGAUUCUAGAUUAAUAGAUCAUAGAAUGAUAGAUCUAGAGCUAGAGUACUAUGUCUAGUCUAGAAAUUAUGGUUCUAUUUAGCCAUACAAAUAUACCCAUACAAAACGUAUCUUAAAUAUUAUAUUAUCAACAUUUCAAAUAUUAUACUCCGAUUGUCACGAUCAUCAAUGUGCUUGAUGUCACGAUCUCUUAUAUGCUUCUUAAUACUAUCACGUUGAAGAUGAACUUGAUCUAAACUGCACAAUCAAUGAUCGUGAUUGCCGAGGAUCUAGAAAUAGUCAGUUGAUAAGAUGAUCAUUUAGAAGUUGCUAGUUGAUAAGAUGAUCAUCUAGAAGUUGCCAGUUGAUAAGAGGAUCAUCUAGAAGCUGCUAGUCAAUAAGACGAUCUAACAGUCCUCUUGAAGUUUCUUAAAAUAGUUCACUGCUUCUGCGGCUAUUCUGGUAGUUCGACGACGGUUGUUGCUCCAUGCUGUUUCACUAGACCAACAGUAUCCGUGAUGUCCAAUGUAGACUAGAUAAGACCAAGGUCACCUUCGACAACGUCCCUUUAUACGACUAACGGUUACACACUAAGUGGGUGGAUGUGGCUGCUUCCACAACACCAACACUAAACAGCCUAGAUAUGGUCUAGAACAGUUUGUGUACGAGAUAAACAAAUAAUGUUCAGCAACGAUGAAUCAGACUUUUACUGACCUUUUAAAGGUUAACUGCAGUGACCGUUACGAUAAAUGGCGACUAGUUCAAUGAACAAACUGCUCCAUAAGGACUUUCAAAAGGGUAAGACAGAACGAUUCAGUUGGCUAAAGAACUUGUAGUACUCACAGUGACUCCUGACAGCAGGCAAACUGUCCUUUUCAAAACUAAUGUGGUAACUUGAUAUGAUUAUGUGGCUCUUAUGACAGCUUUCAC